GACGAACGCUGGCGGCGUGCUUAACACAUGCAAGUCGAACGGAAAGGCCCUGCUUUUGUGGGGUGCUCGAGUGGCGAACGGGGGAGUAACACGUGAGUAACCUGCCCCUGACUUUGGGAUAACUUCAGGAAACUGGGGCUAAUACCGGAUAGGAGCUCCUGCUGCAUGGUGGGGGUUGGAAAGUUUCGGCGGUUGGGGAUGGACUCGCGGGUUAUCAGCUUGUUGGUGGGGUAGUGGCUGACCAAGGCUUUGACGGGUAGCCGGCCUGAGAGGGGGACCGGCCACAUUGGGACUGAGAUACGGCCCAGACUCCUACGGGAGGCAGCAGUGGAGAAUAUUGCACAAUGGGCGGAAGCCUGAGGCAGCAACGCCGCGUGCGGGAUGACGGCCUUCGGGUUGUAAACCGCUGUCGCCUGUGACGAAGCGUGAGUGACGGUAAUGGGUAAAGAAGCACCGGCUAACUACGUG
rnacentral:rRNA from 1 species